rnacentral:rRNA from 1 species
CUGCGGAGGGAUCAUUACACAAUAAAAUAUGAAGGCUGUACGCGGCUGUGCUCUCGGGCCAGUUUUGCGGAGGCUGAAUUAUUUAUUACCCUUGUCUUUUGCGCACUUGUUGUUUCCUGGGCGGGUUCGCCCGCCACCAGGACCACAUCAUAAACCUUUUUUAUGCAGUUGCAAUCAGCGUCAGUAUAACAAAUGUAAAUCAUUUACAACUUUCAACAACGGAUCUCUUGGUUCUGGCAUCGAUGAAGAACGCAGCGAAAUGCGAUACGUAGUGUGAAUUGCAGAAUUCAGUGAAUCAUCGAAUCUUUGAACGCACAUUGCGCCCUUUGGUAUUCCAAAGGGCAUGCCUGUUCGAGCGUCAUUUGUACCCUCAAGCUUUGCUUGGUGUUGGGCGUUUUUUGUCUUUGGUUGCCAAAGACUCGCCUUAAAAGGAUUGGCAGCCGGCCUACUGGUUUCGCAGCGCAGCACAUUUUUGCGCUUGCAAUCAGCAAAAGAGGACGGCAAUCCAUCAAGACUCCUUCUCACGUUUGACCUCGGAUCAGGUAGGGAUACCCGCUGAACUUAAGCAUAUCAAUAAGCCGGAGGA